rnacentral:rRNA from 1 species
UACGAAGGGUGCAAGCGUUACUCGGAAUUACUGGGCGUAAAGCGUGCGUAGGCGGUUUGUUAAGUCUGUCGUGAAAGCCCUGGGCUCAACCUGGGAAUUGCGAUGGAUACUGGCAAGCUAGAGUACGGUAGAGGAUGGUGGAAUUCCCGGUGUAGCGGUGAAAUGCGUAGAGAUCGGGAGGAACACCCGUGGCGAAGGCGGCAUCCUGGACCGACACUGACGCUGAGGAGCGAAAGCCAGGGGAGCAAACGGG